rnacentral:rRNA from 1 species
UGCGUACCUUUUGUAUAAUGGGUCAGCGACUUAUAUUCUGUAGCAAGGUUAACCGAAUAGGGGAGCCGAAGGGAAACCGAGUCUUAACUGGGCGUUAAGUUGCAGGGUAUAGACCCGAAACCCGGUGAUCUAGCCAUGGGCAGGUUGAAGGUUGGGUAACACUAACUGGAGGACCGAACCGACUAAUGUUGAAAAAUUAGCGGAUGACUUGUGGCUGGGGGUGAAAGGCCAAUCAAACCGGGAGAUAGCUGGUUCUCCCCGAAAGCUAUUUAGGUAGCGCCUCGUGAAUUCAUCUCCGGGGGUAGAGCACUGUUUCGGCAAGGGGGUCAUCCCGACUUACCAACCCGAUGCAAACUGCGAAUACCGGAGAAUGUUAUCACGGGAGACACACGGCGGGUGCUAACGUCCGUCGUGAAGAGGGAAACAACCCAGACCGCCAGCUAAGGUCCCAAAGUCAUGGUUAAGUGGGAAACGAUGUGGGAAGGCCCAGACAGCCAGGAUGUUGGCUUAGAAGCAGCCAUCAUUUAAAGAAAGCGUAAUAGCUCACUGGUCGAGUCGGCCUGCGCGGAAGAUGUAACGGGGCUAAACCAUGCACCGAAGCUGCGGCAGCGACACUAUGUGUUGUUGGGUAGGGGAGCGUUCUGUAAGCCUGUGAAGGUGUACUGUGAGGUAUGCUGGAGGUAUCAGAAGUGCGAAUGCUGACAUAAGUAACGAUAAAGCGGGUGAAAAGCCCGCUCGCCGGAAGACCAAGGGUUCCUGUCCAACGUUAAUCGGGGCAGGGUGAGUCGACCCCUAAGGCGAGGCCGAAAGGCGUAGUCGAUGGGAAACAGGUUAAUAUUCCUGUACUUGGUGUUACUGCGAAGGGGGGACGGAGAAGGCUAUGUUGGCCGGGCGACGGUUGUCCCGGUUUAAGCGUGUAGGCUGGUUUUCCAGGCAAAUCCGGAAAACCAAGGCUGAGGCGUGAUGACGAGGCACUACGGUGCUGAAGCAACAAAUGCCCUGCUUCCAGGAAAAGCCUCUAAGCAUCAGGUAACAUCAAAUCGUACCCCAAACCGACACAGGUGGUCAGGUAGAGAAUACCAAGGCGCUUGAGAGAACUCGGGUGAAGGAACUAGGCAAAAUGGUGCCGUAACUUCGGGAGAAGGCACGCUGAUAUGUAGGUGAAGCGACUUGCUCGUGGAGCUGAAAUCAGUCGAAGAUACCAGCUGGCUGCAACUGUUUAUUAAAAACACAGCACUGUGCAAACACGAAAGUGGACGUAUACGGUGUGACGCCUGCCCGGUGCCGGAAGGUUAAUUGAUGGGGUUAGCGGUAACGCGAAGCUCUUGAUCGAAGCCCCGGUAAACGGCGGCCGUAACUAUAACGGUCCUAAGGUAGCGAAAUUCCUUGUCGGGUAAGUUCCGACCUGCACGAAUGGCGUAAUGAUGGCCAGGCUGUCUCCACCCGAGACUCAGUGAAAUUGAACUCGCUGUGAAGAUGCAGUGUACCCGCGGCAAGACGGAAAGACCCCGUGAACCUUUACUAUAGCUUGACACUGAACAUUGAGCCUUGAUGUGUAGGAUAGGUGGGAGGCUUUGAAGUGUGGACGCCAGUCUGCAUGGAGCCGACCUUGAAAUACCACCCUUUAAUGUUUGAUGUUCUAACGUGGGCCCCUUACCGGGGUUGCGGACAGUGUCUGGUGGGUAGUUUGACUGGGGCGGUCUCCUCCUAAAGAGUAACGGAGGAGCACGAAGGUUGGCUAAUCCUGGUCGGACAUCAGGAGGUUAGUGCAAUGGCAUAAGCCAGCUUGACUGCGAGCGUGACGGCGCGAGCAGGUGCGAAAGCAGGUCAUAGUGAUCCGGUGGUUCUGAAUGGAAGGGCCAUCGCUCAACGGAUAAAAGGUACUCCGGGGAUAACAGGCUGAUACCGCCCAAGAGUUCAUAUCGACGGCGGUGUUUGGCACCUCGAUGUCGGCUCAUCACAUCCUGGGGCUGAAGUAGGUCCCAAGGGUAUGGCUGUUCGCCAUUUAAAGUGGUACGCGAGCUGGGUUUAGAACGUCGUGAGACAGUUCGGUCCCUAUCUGCCGUGGGCGCUGGAGAACUGAGGGGGGCUGCUCCUAGUACGAGAGGACCGGAGUGGACGCAUCACUGGUGUUCGGGUUGUCAUGCCAAUGGCACUGCCCGGUAGCUAAAUGCGGAAGAGAUAAGUGCUGAAAGCAUCUAAGCACGAAACUUGCCCCGAGAUGAGUUCUCCCUGAGACUUAGAGUCUCCUGAAGGAACGUUGAAGACGACGACGUUGAUAGGCCGGGUGUGUAAGCGCAGCGAUGCGUUGAGCUAACCGGUACUAAUGAACCGUGAGGCUUAACCUU